CUUCGUUGUCAUCAAUUGCUUUCUCCGCAAAUAAGAAUAGCGUUAUCUGGUGGAUUUUACCCGUCAACUUGGAGUAGAUAAAAUGCUCGUGUUGUUUUGUGUGGAAAGAACAUUUUCUUGCCAAAUCAUCGCCUUUGUAGAUAUCCUGUCAUAGUGAUUUGUUCGGGUCUAGUUUACUACUCGUAUCUAAGGUUACGCUAUUGUAGGUACGAAAUGAAUCUUAAUUUCCUACAUGAAUUUCAAAUGUAAAGGCGCCGUUUGGACAUAUGUAUUGAAUAUAGAUCUGAAAGUUCAAACAAGUGGAUAACACUGGAUAAGGAUCCGUUGCAUGUAAGCACCCUGCUCAAAUAAAUCCUGAAAGGAUCGGACGUUGCAAAUAUUGAAAUCCAUCCAACUAUGUGCAUAGUUAUCUGACACAUAAAUAAA